GGGGCUGUAAGGGUUUUGACAGAAAGUUGUGGUAGCAAGGGUUGCGAGCCGAAGACGCUAACCUCUCUUCGUUAAACACAUGUUAGCAACGUCAUAAAUGCAGACGUAAACACGCUUAUUGCUGAACAGAGAAAGAUGGGUUUGAACGCCUUCCUGCAAAUGGUUGGCUAUCAGCCCGCUCCUGCUUUAGCAAACGUUCCUGCUUAAAUAUAAGCAGGCCGUCUCCUAAGCUUUGCCAAAGGGUUUAGGGUCAGACGUUAUUUUUUGGCUGCUCAACUAGUCUUUUCUGUUUGGCUGGUUGCUAAGACUUACAUCAGAUAGCGCAGGGAACAACCGUGCUUUAGGUUAAGCCCUGGGUGAAAUUUUUAACAAAAGCUACGCUCGUAGAUACUUUUGCGCUGCCUUUUUGGACAGGGGUUCGACUCCCCUCAGCUCCACCA
rnacentral:tmRNA from 1 species